rfam:Rattus norvegicus chromosome 11, whole genome shotgun sequence.
CACCCCACAGUGGUCAAAGAAAUACCUUAUUGACGGUGUUGCUCUUGUAACCAUCAGGGGCAACAGAUGACAGUCCUGUGUUCAUCCUAGCUUGAUGCCUGACUUGCUGCCCAAAGCUGUUUUAAGCCUAGGACACAUAA